rnacentral:lncRNA from 1 species
UCCUCAGUGAGUGUAGGAGCUCAGUGCUGUCCACUCCAUCCCGCAUCAAUUACCAUUGUCAGUGCUGAAGCUUUUAAGUCCUGCGUGGUAAUUGGCGUGUGUUUUGAAAGUGACGGUUAUCUUCCGUUUUAUUUGAAUUUUGAGCGGCAGUUUGAAAUCAUUUAUUCAUCUAACGAAAGUGAAGUGUUCUAUUCGUGUUCUGUUUCUUUUUGUUUGUGUGUGUGUGAAGACAAUAUUACAGAUUUGAAUCCUGCUUGAUACCCACACUCUGUGAAUUAGUAAAGUCAUUUUAAUUUCAUGAAUGGACUUUCCCAUUCUUGUGAUGUGAACUAACCUCCACGAUCCGUCGAGAUAAUAGUAAUCAGUGAACCGUAGAAAAAGAAAGAGAGCGAGAGAGAGAGAGAGAGA